GGGCCCGUAGCUUAAGUGGUAAAAGCAGCCGACUCAUAAUCGGUCGACAGUCGGUUCGAGUCCGACCGGGCCUACCA
rnacentral:tRNA from 1 species